AGAAGAAAAGCAUCGACGCGAGGUUUUAGCCGCCCGUACCCCAAACCGACACAGGUGGUCAGGUAGAGAAUACUAAGGAGAUCGAGAGAAUCAUGGUGAAGGAACUCGGCAAAAUGCCCCCGUAACUUCGGGAGAAGGGGGGCCAUCCACUUAUACGGAUUUACUCCGGAAAGGGUGUGGUGGCCGCAGAGACCAGUGGGAAGCGACUGUUUACUAAAAACACAGGUCCGUGCGAACAAGCAAUUGGAUGUAUACGGACUGACGCCUGCCCGGUGCUGGAAGGUUAAGAGGAGAGGUCAACCCUUCGGGGUGAAGCUUUGAAUUUAAGCCCCAGUAAACGGCGGUGGUAACAAUAACCAUCCUAAGGUAGCGAAAUUCCUUGUCGGGUAAGUUCCGACCUGCACGAAUGGCGUAACGACUUCCCGGCUGUCUCCACCAUGAACUCGGCGAAAUUGCACUACGAGUAAAGAUGCUCGUUACGCGCAGAAGGACGGAAAGACCCCGUGACCUUUACUACAGCUUGGUAUUGGUGUUCGGUGUGGCUUGUGUAGGAUAGGUGGGAGACUGUGAAGCAGGGACGCUAGUUCUUGUGGAGUCAUUGUUGAAAUACCACUCUGGUCAUAUUGGAUAUCUAACUACGGACCCUGAUCGGGUUCUGGGACAGUGCCUGGUGGGUAGUUUAACUGGGGCGGUUGCCUCCUAAAGAGUAACGGAGGCGCCCAAAGGUUCCCUCAACCUGGUUGGCAAUCAGGUGGCGAGUGUAAGUGCACAAGGGAGCUUGACUGUGAGACUGACAGGUCGAGCAGGGACGAAAGUCGGGACUAGUGAUCCGGCAGUAGCUUGUGGAAGCGCUGUCGCUCAACGGAUAAAAGGUACCUCGGGGAUAACAGGCUGAUCUUGCCCAAGAGUCCAUAUCGACGGCAUGGUUUGGCACCUCGAUGUCGGCUCGUCGCAUCCUGGGGCUGGAGUAGGUCCCAAGGGUUGGGCUGUUCGCCCAUUAAAGCGGUACGCGAGCUGGGUUUAGAACGUCGUGAGACAGUUCGGUCCCUAUCCUCUGCGCGCGUUGGAAAUUUGAGAGGAUCUGACCCUAGUACGAGAGGACCGGGUUGGACGGACCUCUGGUGUGCCAGUUGUUCUGCCAAGGGCAUGGCUGGUUGGCUACGUUCGGGAUGGAUAACCGCUGAAAGCAUCUAAGCGGGAAGCCGGCCUCGAGAUGAGAUUUCCGUCACCCUUGUGGUGGUGAGGCUCCCAGGAGAUUACUGGGUUGAUAGGCCAGAUGUGGAAGCACUGUAAGGUGUGGAGCUGACUGGUACUAAUAAGCCGAUGGCC
rnacentral:rRNA from 1 species